rnacentral:rRNA from 1 species
AGGGAGGCGUAGGCGGCUGAUUAAGUCAGCGGUGAAAGGUAGCAGCUUAACUGUUUUACAUGCCGUUGAUACUGGUUAGCUUGAGUUGACAGAAGGCAGAUAGAAUUCCUGGUGUAGCGGUGAAAUGCUUAGAUACCAGGAGGAAUACCGAUUGCGAAGGCAGUCUGCUGCAGUCACACUGACGCUGAGGCUCGAAGGUGCGGGGAUCAAACAGGAUUAGAUACCCUGGU